UACGGAGGUCGCAAGCGUUGCUCGGAAUCACUGGGCGUAAAGGGCGUGUAGGCGGCUUGGCAAGUCGGGUGUGAAAGCCCGGGGCUCAACUCCGGAACUGCAUUCGAAACUGCCUCGCUCGAGUCCCGGAGAGGGUGGUGGAAUUCCCGGUGUAGAGGUGAAAUUCGUAGAUAUCGGGAGGAACACCAGUGGCGAAGGCGGCCCCCUGGGCGGUGCCUGACGCUGAGACGCGAAAGCUUGGGGAUCAAACAGG
rnacentral:rRNA from 1 species